AUGGUGCCGAGUGGAAGGGCCGUCGCUCAACGGAUAAAAGUUACUCUAAGGAUAACAGGCUAAUCUUCCCAAGAGCUCACAUCGACGGGAAGGUUUGGCACCUCGAUGUCGGCUCUUCGCCACCUAGGGAUGUAGUAUGUUCCAAUGGUUGGGUUGUUCGCCCAUUAAAGCGGUAUGUAAGCUAGGUUCAAAACGUCGUGAGACAAUUCGAUCCAUAUCUGGUGUGGGCGUUAGAGCAUUGAGAGGACCUUUCCCUAGUACGAGAGGACCGGGAAUGACGCACCUCUGAUGUACCAGUUAUCGUGCCCACAGUAAGCGCUAGGUAGCCAAGUGCGGAGCGGAUAACUGCUGAAAGCAUCUAAGUAGUAAGCCCACCCCAAGAUGAGUGCUCUUCUAUUCCGACUUCCCUAGAGCCUCCGGUAGCACAGUCG
rfam:Gossypium raimondii Chr02_contig_1227, whole genome shotgun sequence.